rnacentral:rRNA from 1 species
UACGAAGGGGGGCUAGCGUUGCUCGGAAUCACUGGGCGUAAAGCGCACGUAGGCGGCUUUUUAAGUCAGGGGUGAAAUCCUGGAGCUCAACUCCAGAACUGCCUUUGAUACUGAGAAGCUUGGAGUCCGGGAGAGGUGAGUGGAACUGCGAGUGUAGAGGUGAAAUUCGUAGAUAUUCGCAAGAACACCAGUGGCGAAGGCGGCUCACUGGCCCGAUACUGACGCUGAGGUGCGAAAGCGUGGGGAGCAAACAGG